rnacentral:lncRNA from 1 species
CCCUGCAGUACUGUCCACUUGGACUGCGCAUCCUGAGGAGAAAUGAGUGUUGCCUGGGGGUGGAGUCCACGUCUCCCUAUUCUGUCAAAUGGUAAGGUACCGUGCACAAGGGAGCUUUGGAAUGAGCCUUUGUUUUGGUUGGCUCUCCUCCUCUUGCUCUCCUGUCAUCCUUUGAUCAUGUCAAGUUCUUGCUCUAUUCCUCACUUCAUGUCUAACCUCUUGAGUUUGAUGGGAGAGAAGAUGCAUUCAGGACCGCACCAGGAGAGAGACAAAAGUAUCCAAUUCACAUCACUCGUUUCUCCCCAGAAGGCCAUUCCUGUCCUCACCUUGAAGCUCCCACCUUUCAAGAUCUCCAUUCAGGUGACAGAAGGCAUUUUUGAGUGA